CCUACGGGUCGCAGCAGUGGGGAAUAUUGCACAAUGGGCGCAAGCCUGAUGCAGCCAUGCCGCGUGUGUGAAGAAGGCCUUCGGGUUGUAAAGCACUUCCAGCGGGGAGGAAGGCGAUAAGGUUAAUAACCUUGUCGAUUGACGUUACCCGCAGAAGAAGCACCGGCUAACUCCGUGCCAGCAGCCGCGGUAAUACGGAGGGUGCAAGCGUUAAUCGGAAUUACUGGGCGUAAAGCGCACGCAGUCGGUCUGGCAAGUCGGAUGUGAAAUCCCCGGGCUCAACCUGGGAACUGCAUUCGAAACUGGCAGGUUAGAGUCUUGUAGAGGGGGGUAGAAUUCCAGGUGUAGCGGUGAAAUGCGUAGAGAUCUGGAGGAAUACCGGUGGCGAAGGCGGCCCCCUGGACAAAGACUGACGCUCAGGUGCGAAAGCGUGGGGAGCAAACAGGAUUAUAUACCCUCGUAGUC
rnacentral:rRNA from 1 species